ACGGAGCAACGCCGCGUGGGGGAAGAAGGCCUUUGGGUUGUAAACUCCUUUUCUCAGGGAAGAAGCACUGACGGUACCUGAGGAAUCAGCCUCGGCUAACUCCGUGCCAGCAGCCGCGGUAAUACGGAGGAGGCAAGCGUUAUCCGGAAUUAUUGGGCGUAAAGCGUUCGUAGGCGGCAUUUCAAGUCUGCUGUCAAAGGCCGAGGCUCAACUUCGGAAAGGCAGUGGAAACUGAAAAGCUAGAGGUCGGUAGGGGCAGAGGGAAUUCCCAGUGUAGCGGUGAAAUGCGUAGAUAUUGGGAAGAACACCGGUGGCGAAAGCGCUCUGCUGGGCCGAACCUGACGCUGAGGGACGAAAGCUAGGGGAGCGAAUGGGAUUAGAUACCCCAGUAGUCCUAGCCGUAAACGAUGGAGACUAGGUGUUGCCUGUAUCGACCCGGGCAGUGCCGAAGCCAACGCGUUAAGUCUCCCGCCUGGGGAGUACGCACGCAAGUGUGAAACUCAAAGGAAUUGACGGGGGCCCGCACAAGCGGUGGAGUAUGUGGUUUAAUUCGAUGCAACGCGAAGAACCUUACCAGGGCUUGACAUCCCGCGAAUCUCGGCGAAAGUUGAGAGUGCCUACGGGAACGCGGAGACAGGUGGUGCAUGGCUGUCGUCAGCUCGUGUCGUGAGAUGUUGGGUUAAGUCCCGCAACGAGCGCAACCCUCGUCCUUAGUUGCCAUCCUUAAGUGGGGCACUCUAGGGAGACUGCCGGUGAUAAACCGGAGGAAGGUGGGGAUGACGUCAAGUCAUCAUGCCCCAUAUGUCCUGGGCGACACACGUACUACAAUGGUCGGGACAGCGAGCAGCCAACUUGCGAAAGCGCGCUAAUCUCUCAAACCCGGCCUCAGUUCAGAUUGCAGGCUGCAACUCGCCUGCAUGAAGGAGGAAUCGCUAGUAAUCGCAGGUCAGCAUACUGCGGUGAAUCCGUUCCCGGGCCUUGUACACACCGCCCGUCACACCAUGGAAGUCGGCCAUGCCCGAAGUCAUUACUCUAACCGUUCGCGGAGGAGGGGCCGAAGGCAGG
rnacentral:rRNA from 1 species